rnacentral:rRNA from 1 species
UACGUAGGGUGCAAGCGUUAAUCGGAAUUACUGGGCGUAAAGCGUGCGCAGGCGGUUGUGCAAGACCGAUGUGAAAGCCCCGGGCUUAACCUGGGAAUGGCAUUGGUGACUGCACGGCUAGAGUGUGUCAGAGGGGGGUAGAAUUCCACGUGUAGCAGUGAAAUGCGUAGAGAUGUGGAGGAAUACCGAUGGCGAAGGCAGCCCCCUAGGAUAACACUGACGCUCAUGCACGAAAGCGUGGGGAGCAAACAGG